UACAGGGGGUGCAAACGUUGCUCGGAAUCAUUGGGCGUGAAGCGCACGUAGGCGGUUCGUUAUGUCGGAUGUGAAAGCCCUUGGCUUAACCGAGGAAGUGCAUCCGAAACUGGCGAGCUAGAGUACGAAAGAGGAUCGCGGAAUUCCCGGUGUAGAGGUGAAAUUCGUAGAUAUUGGGAAGAACACCGGUGGCGAAGGCGGCGACCUGGUCCUUGACUGACGCUGAGGCGCGAAAGCGUGGGGAGCAAACAGG
rnacentral:rRNA from 1 species